UCUUGUCUGAAAUGACAAAAUAUAAUAAGUAAGUGGCAAAAGUACACACAGUUUCAGAUCAAGUUACCCAAAACCAGUACCAAUAAACGGAACUUGCUAGGGCCUCGCCGGGCGCCGAGUCGUCUACGAUAAUAAACAACGCAUGAGUCCUGUUUAUACUGGUUUUGGGAAGCUUGAUCUGUGGCCGUGUGUACAAAUCUGAUAUUAGUUGGAAAUUUAACUGCAUUCGAUUAAAGGCCCUCCUUAAUUCACACAUGUUGUCAACUUUACACUGUCUCAUGAAGCAUUAGAUAAAUCAAGCAAUAUAUAUAUACCUAUACAGAGUGGAAAAAUAAGGCCGCAGUUGAAGGAAAAGUACCCUUAGGCGCAACGCAAACGGCGGGCCGGCGCAGGCCGGUCAAUUUCGCCGCGAACGAUAGCGCAAAGUGAAUCUUAUACUAGACGCAGACGGCGCGGCCGGGGCGGCGCGGCGCAGACAUCGACGAAAUAAUUCAUUUUUUACAAAAAUAAUUAGAACUUCAUUUAAGGAUUUUUGGAAAAACACCGGAUUGAAUCGGGCAAUUUGUUUAUUUGUUACAGUAAAAUUUGCCAUCAUCAAAAUUAAGGUGAAAACUUCCGGAAGUCACUAGCGCUAUAUUUGGCAACUGGUAAUACAUUCACUGAUCUACACUAUUCCUAUGUGAUUGGAAUUGCAACAAUUAGCGAAAUAGUAAGACA